CCCUUAGAUGCUCUGGGCCGCACGCGCGCUACACUGGUCGAUGCAACGAGUUUCUUUCCUUGGCCGACAGGCCUGGGCAAUCUUUGAACAUCGAUCGUGAUCGGGAUAGAUUCUUGUAAUUUUUGAUCUUAAACGAGGAAUUCCUAGUAAACGCAAGUCAUCAGCUUGCAUUGAUUACGUCCCUGCCCUUUGUACACACCGCCCGUCGCACCUACCGAUUGAAUGGUCCGGUGAAAUCUCCGGACUGGCGUGAGUCGGAGCAAUCUGACAAACACCGGAAAGUUGAUUAAACCCUACCAUUUAGAGGAAGGUGAAGUCGUAACA
rnacentral:rRNA from 1 species